rnacentral:rRNA from 1 species
UACGGAGGGUGCAAGCGUUAUCCGGAUUCACUGGGUUUAAAGGGUGCGUAGGAGGGCAGGUAAGUCAGUGGUGAAAUCUCCGAGCUUAACUUGGAAACUGCCGUUGAUACUAUCUGUCUUGAAUAUUGUGGAGGUGAGCGGAAUAUGUCAUGUAGCGGUGAAAUGCUUAGAUAUGACAUAGAACACCAAUUGCGAAGGCAGCUCACUACACGAAUAUUGACACUGAGGCACGAAAGCGUGGGGAUCAAACAGG